rnacentral:ncRNA from 1 species
CCCUAUCUGUCGCGGGCGCAGGAAGUUUGAGGAGAGCUGUCCUUAGUACGAGAGGACCGGGAUGGACGCACCGCUGGUGCACCAGUUGUCACGCCAGUGGCACAGCUGGGUAGCUAUGUGCGGAAGGGAUAAGCGCUGAAAGCAUCUAAGCGUGAAGCCCCCUCCAAGAUGAGACUUCCCACAGCGUUAAGCUGGUAAGACCCCUCAUAGACGAUGAGGUUGAUAGGUUCGGUGUGGAAGCGCGGCAACGCGUGGAGCUGACGAAUACUAAUCGGUCGAGGACUUAUCCAC